UCGAUUUUGUAUUCCCAACUCAUAGGUGUGUGUGCGGCUAAUCCAUCGUGCUCAUCGAUCAUCAUCCACAUGGUUGCAGAUAUCAAUGGAGUCCGUAAGGUAAAGCGCGAUUGACACGCCGGGAUACGCGUACUCACCGAAGGAUUUGGGUACAUUUCUUUAGGCUUCAUUGGUUGGUUGGUGGCAUCUGAGGCCCACUGAAUGGUAUGAAAUAGACCCAGGUGGAUCAAUAAGAGACUUAUCUGAGCAUGUUGGUUAUGCUACAAUACACAGUAGGGUCGGGUGUUUCUUUCGAAUUUAGUUACAAUGAAGAAAGGAGAAUACACUAACAAGACGUUUUAAGAAAAAGUAUAAAAAGUAGACGAGAAAUCUAAGUACAGAUAUAGAUAUGAACUAAAUGUGGUUAAACUUCUCUUUCAAGCAGAGCUCCAACCCUAUAAUGCAAAGGAAUCCAUAUCUUUCUACUUUCUUUUGCUCUUCAUGUUCAACGGUGUGGAUCAAUUCUGAUGACAUGUUUCAAUAGUUUGCAGCAUAGCAUAAAGUGGUGAAUAUAAUCACUUCCCUCACUUUGGAUGGCUCAAAAUAUUUUAUCUCUUUCCACCUUUCUUUGUUAGAUGCUGUUCCUUCCCUCCACAUAAAAGCUUGUAAAAGCAUUUAUAGAGAGAAAGAACAACGUUUUUGCCAAGAUUCAUAGUUAGGUUUUAGUGGGAUUAGAUACAAAGAAGUAGGUUCCGUUUGGGGCCACGAGACAAAAAAUUUCACGUGUAUACCUUAAACGAUUCAUG